rnacentral:lncRNA from 1 species
AACAAGCACCUUGGUAGCUCCGAUCAUCUUCAACGCGUCCAACAUCAUCAGUACUGGUGCAGUCAUCGGGAGGACAAACCCUUCAUGCAAACUGUACCUACUAUCAACAAGAAGAUACGGGAGGUCAACCUGCUGGGUACUGCAGACUCUGCAAUACUGUACUAAAGUGGCCAUGGAGAAGGAAAGUGGUAGAGGAAGCCAGUAACUGCAGCCAUUGGGAAAACCAAACAUUAGCCUAAGGAAGAAAUGAAAACCAGAGCUGGUGCAAGAUGGUGAAUUGGUCCAUGCUAAUUAUUGGUUGCAAAGAAAAUGAGCAUCUAGAUGGUUGUGGCUGGCUAGCUGGUUCAAGGGCUACAUCAUUGAAAUGGUUGGUUGGCUGGCUUUUCCAUGGUUUAAUAGAUGAGCUAUUUUUAAAGGUG